CCUACGGGAGACAGCAGUGGGGAAUAUUGGGCAAUGGGCGCAAGCCUGACCCAGCAACGCCGCGUGAAGGAAGAAGGCUUUCGGGUUGUAAACUUCUUUUAUUGAGGACGAAACAAAUGACGGUACUCAAUGAAUAAGCCACGGCUAACUCCGUGCCAGCAGCCGCGGUAAUACGGAGGGUGCGAGCGUUAAUCGGAAUUACUGGGCGUAAAGCGCUCGUAGGCGGUAUGUCAAGUCAAGGGUGAAAUCCCCGCGCUCAACGUGGGAACUGCCUUUGAAACUGGCAAACUGGAGUGUGUGAGAGGAUAGUGGAAUUCCAGGUGUAGGAGUGAAAUCCGUAGAUAUCUGGAGGAACAUCAGUGGCGAAGGCGACUAUCUGGCACAUAACUGACGCUGAGGAGCGAAAGCGUGGGUAGCAAACAGGAUUAGAUACCCCAGUAGUC
rnacentral:rRNA from 1 species